CUGAAGUGUUGAUUACAGGACAACAGAUGGAUAUCCUCAGGGAAAACGAGGAGAAGGGUAAAAUGAUGUUUAAAGAUGGAAUUUGAGCAGCUAAGGCAAACAUUAAAUGCUGCCAUUGCAGAGCAGUACAGUACAUUUUGAAACGCGACAUUUUUCCCCCGUUUUUGUUUCCCUGUAAGCCAGCUGAGGUCUGGAGAGAACUUUCCAGUCAGAUCGUCCGCCACCGCAAAAAUGCUUUCACCGCCGACUGCCCGCUACCAGCACUGAUAAAAUAAACUGCAACAUAUAGCAGUUCUGUUGAAGAGACUAUACAAUAGCGUUGAAUGUUACGUUAAGCACGAUCAGUUUAAGCAUACACGUUGCUAAAGUAAAAGUUGAGUUAUUCCAGACAAAAUAUAGCUUUGUCGUGGUCGUUUUGCCCCACAGUACACGUAGCGUUAUGUAUUACAGGUUAUUUGCUGGUCAGAGCCAGCUACUUUCGGCAAUGCAUCACAGCUGCUGCUAACUCAACUUGUGCGAGAGGCCAGACCAGCGGUAUGGAGCGGCUUUACCGUAGACAAAACGAGGACUCAUUUCCAGGUCAUGACCUGAGGAAUCAAAGUGGGCGGGGAAUGCAGGGGACUGUAGCCAAUCAGAUGUAAGGCUGGUGACUGUGCAGCCAGUCAGAAGAAGGUGAAGAAGAGGGUGAGGGAGUGUCACAGAUCGGCCGAGGUGGACAGCUGUCCCAGACGGGGGUCCGAGUCCAUCUCGUAGCGGUAGUGGUACCCCUCCAGGAUGUCCCGGCAGGCCUCCCGCACGUCCGUC